ACACCGAUUCACUUGCGUCUCUGCACACUUGUGUGAUCCUCUACAUCCAUUUGUGUGUUUUAGAUUGGAGGCGUUUUCCGAAGGAGCUGCGCAUGAGAGAGAAGAGACCCCUGAGAGACAAUAAGGGAGCAGGUGAGGCUGAUGCGCUCAUGAAUGAGUGUGUAAAGACGAGCCGAACCAGCAGGUCUGCGCUUCGCUCUCUGACUCAUCGGCGUCUCUGGGGAAAUCAGAGAGAUGGCUCUCAGCCGCGCUGCACACACAUCUCCAGAAUGAAAGGAUGGAGAGAAAGAGGAGAUGAGAGAGGGAUGAAGGUUUAGGCUUGAAGAGCGUCUGUCACCAAGAGAGGAGAGAAGAUUAUUUUUAGUCCUUCUGUGUCUUUUGUCAGAGGAGCUGUGAUCAAUGAGUUGAUGUUAUUAUGGGAAGAUGUUGCUGAUGUCAUUUCCACAGUCAAAAACACGGUUUUGCUUAUAUGGUUGCAGAAAGCCCAGCUGUUCCCAAACAACCCAAACAGCCACGAGUGGACAAAGAGGAGAUCAUACGCAAACUGGAGACUCUGGAGCAGAAAGAGGAAGACGGGAGUUCUGAUGAAGAGGAGGGAGAGAAAAAGAAGCCAGAAGAGGAAGAGGCUGAGGGAGAGGAAGGGUAUGAUGAGGAGGAAUUUGAGGAUGAAACAGAUUACAUCAUGUCCCACUUUGACAAUGGAGACGAGUUUGGAGGAGACAGUGAUGAUAACAUAGAUGAAGCUGUUUACUGAAGCAGGUGACGGCGGCUCCAGAGCGCCCUCCUCCGGCCAGUGAGUGUCGCUGGAACUGCUCUGUCCCUCAGGACCGUUCUAGCUUGGAUCAUUAUGUUUGGCAGCUGAUGUUGAAAUCUGUAUGCAGUGGAUUUCCUCUCAUCCGAUCGGUUGGCAGGGCGGCUGAUUGCUGACAAAGAGCAUUUGAAUCCGAGGGUUACGGCUGGAGGACACAGAGAAGACACUGAGGCACAAACUUCUCUCUUAAUGCAGCUAUACA
ensembl:lncRNA